AAAAAUAAAUGAGUACAAGAAUUAAAAUAAAAUAAUUUUAAAAGUACAAAAGUAUUUAUGCCUCUGACAUUUUAACCAUCGUAUUGCUUUAAGAGCCGUGCAGCACUAUUAACAAUACGUAAUUUUAAAAUCACAAAUAUGUUGAGUUUCUGUAUUUUUAAAAGAAUAUAAAAUUACGAAUAAUAUAUAUUUAUAGAGUUGAGCUAUUAUAUUAUUAUGGAUAAACUUUAAAUAUCACCCCUGUGGUUUUGCACUUUCUGACUUUAGGAUCCUAUGGUUAAAGUGUAUCAAGUUAGUAUUCUUUGGUUUCAUUUUUAUCUUUUCAUCAUUUUUUUGUUAAUAUUUUGUUAAAUUAUAUAUAAAAAAAACUUCAAAUAUUCCAUCCAGAUUUAUUGAAUAUUCAAUUUAUUACUCUUUAAUUUUAAUUUUGUCACUGAUUUAAAGAAAAAAAUUAGUAAAAUCGAUAAUAAAAAGAUAAAAAUAAAACGACAGGACAUUAAAUUUAUAUACUUUAAACCAUAUAGUACUAAAGUAAAAAAGUGUGAAACUAAAAGGAUAGUAUUUGAAGAUUUUUUUAUUAUUUAUAGUAUAAAAAAUUAUGAAUAAUAUUUAUUAUUAACUUUUUUACUCUUGGAUUAUUAAGAUUCUAUCACAGCCUAAACAUUCAACGGUCAAAAAAUUAAUAGUAAAUAUUAUUUCUCGAUAGUAUUUUAGCUCCAUUUUCUUUCUCUCU
rnacentral:lncRNA from 1 species